rnacentral:rRNA from 1 species
AACGAACGCUGGCGGCAUGCCUAACACAUGCAAGUCGAACGAAGCCUUCGGGCUUAGUGGCGCACGGGUGCGUAACGCGUGGGAAUCUGCCCUUUGGUUCGGAAUAACAGUUGGAAACGACUGCUAAUACCGGAUGAUGACGAAAGUCCAAAGAUUUAUCGCCAGAGGAUGAGCCCGCGUAGGAUUAGCUAGUUGGUGUGGUAAAGGCGCACCAAGGCGACGAUCCUUAGCUGGUCUGAGAGGAUGAUCAGCCACACUGGGACUGAGACACGGCCCAGACUCCUACGGGAGGCAGCAGUGGGGAAUAUUGGACAAUGGGCGAAAGCCUGAUCCAGCAAUGCCGCGUGAGUGAUGAAGGCCCUAGGGUUGUAAAGCUCUUUCACCGGAGAAGAUAAUGACGGUAUCCGGAGAAGAAGCCCCGGCUAACUUCGUGCCAGCAGCCGCUGUAA